CAGUACAAUUAUAAUUUGAUUAUAGCCGGAGAAUAUCCUACUUCAUUUUUAUCACAAGGACAAGUAAAUUUUGGAGAGUGAAUUAUCUAUAAUGACGAAUCGUUGACCGACUUUUUAAGGGUUCCAAAUGACUAUAUAGAUCAAAUCAAGUCAACAAUACUUGGAAUCUAUGUUAUGAAGGAGCCUAAGAUUAGUCAACAACGUUCUCCUUUAUCAGUCGAUGUUCAUCUCUAAUUAGAAAAUCAUAAUAGCAUUGAUGGAUUUCCGAUAACUCAAUAUACUGAUUUUCCUAAAAUGACUCAUUAUCAAAAUACUCUUACCGGCCGAUUUGAUUUUGAUUUAAACAAAACUAUCAAUAAUAGUGAUCGGUAAUGCUCAAUUAUUGUUUGUUGAUUUUGUCAAUUAUUUAUUAAUUUAUAUUAUUUAUUAUUUUUAUUAUUAUAUAUUUUGUAGAGGUUUACCUCAGCAAGAUAGGGAUAUUGCUCCAAGUUAUGGACUAAAUAAUUAUUUUGGUCAGUCCACACACUUUGAAAUGACGAAAAAUGUUGGGACAUCCUCAAAUUUUCAUGUCUCGCCUACUUUUGAUGCAGAUGAUUAUCGCUAUGUCUAACACUUAUUUUUUUAUUUGAGUAAGUUAAUUGCAUGAGUCAAAUAUUUAUAUAUUUUUAACAUAUAUAGGGAAAAUACUACACAAGAUGAGCUCAUUGAUUUUGUGAAUAUCGAUGAUCGUGACCUUCCUAAUUACGGCUCACCUUCAGCUAGUGAUAGUGAUGACUUGCCUAAUGCUGAGGAAUCAGGAGAUAAUGUUCCAUUUGAGGCAUCAUCUAGUGAUGAUGAUUUUUUGACUCCCAAUUGAUCGCCAAGACCAAUGUCCAUGAGUCCGUUUCGUAAUCAUGAAAUUCCUAUCUUGAUCAUCUCUCGGAUGGUCCAGAUAUCUUUGGUGAUACACAUGAUGAAUAUACAUCACAAUGUACGUGGCAUGAAUCAGAAGAUUUCAUGAAUGAUGCUAUUUAUAUUAAAAAAGACAUGUUAUUCAAUUCAAAGAAGCAAUUGCAAAGAGCAGUUAAACUUCUACAUUUGAACAUAGCAAGGGAGUGCUUUGUUAUUAAAUCAACAAGAAAUCAUGGCGGCGACUUGUUUGCAGGCGUGUAGAACAAGGAUGUCAAUUUAGGUUGACUUCUUUUAUUGAUUAACAUACUAACAUGUGGAAAAUUGAAGACACAUUAAAGAACAUACAUGUGAUAUGGGUACGUGCCGCGAAGGGUAUUUCAACUUGGAUGUUGAGAUGAUUGCUAACAUCCUCCAUGUUGAUAUACAAAGAACGCCAAGGUUUCCCAUCAAAGAUUGUCAAACAGUUAUUCUUAAAGGAUAUGCCAUUUCAGUAAGUAAAAGAAAAACUUAUCUUGAUCGCAAGCAGGCUUUUGAAAAAGUUUAUGGUACUUGGGAGUGUUCUUUUGCCGAGUUACCGAGGUUCAUGGAAGCUUUGAAACACUUCAAUCCUGGAGCAGUAGUCAAUUGCAUGUUGAUAGUCAAGACACAUAUUGGUGUAGAAAUAGUCAAACAAUAACAUCCACCAUGUGGGAAAAAUAUGGAAGAUUUGUUGAUAUUUUUUCGAAAAAAAAUAAUCAGAAAAUGUUUCAACUUAAAGCUAGACAAAAAGAUGAAUUUUUGUGUACUUUAUGACAUAGAUACUUUUAUUUUGUCUUAUAUUUUACGA